UCUUCCUUUUUUAUCUCCUCAUGUAG
rnacentral:piRNA from 1 species